rnacentral:misc_RNA from 1 species
UCCGGUUUGACACCGGCAGUCUCGCUAGAGUACUGGCUUUCGCCGAGCAACUAACGAUAGGGGUUGCGCUCGUUAGAGGACUUAACCCGACACUUCACAGCACGAGCUGACGACAGCCAUGCAGCACCUGUGACCGUUCCACCCUUGCGGGUGUGACCCCACUUUCAUGGGGUUAAUCCGGCCAUGUCAAACCCAGGUAAGGUUCUUCGCGUUGCCUCGAAUUAAGCAACAUGCUCCACCGCUUGUGUGAGCCCCCGUCAAUUUCUUUGAGUUUCAGCCUUGCGGCCGUACUCCCCAGGCGGGGCACUUCAUGCGUUAGCGCCGGUACUCCAAGGGUCGCUCCCCGGAGCACCUAGUGCCCAUCGUUUACGGCGUGGACUAC